GAUGAACGCUGGCGGCGUGCCUAAUACAUGCAAGUCGAGCGAACAGACGAGGAGCUUGCUCCUCUGACGUUAGCGGCGGACGGGUGAGUAACACGUGGAUAACCUACCUAUAAGACUGGGAUAACUUCGGGAAACCGGAGCUAAUACCGGAUAAUAUAUUGAACCGCAUGGUUCAAUAGUGUAAGACGGUUUUGCUGUCACUUAUAGAUGGAUCCGCGCCGCAUUAGCUAGUUGGUAAGGUAACGGCUUACCAAGGCAACGAUGCGUAGCCGACCUGAGAGGGUGAUCGGCCACACUGGAACUGAGACACGGUCCAGACUCCUACGGGAGGCAGCAGUAGGGAAUCUUCCGCAAUGGGCGAAAGCUUGACGGAGCAACGCCGCGUGAGUGAUGAAGGUCUUCGGAUCGUAAAACUCUGUUAUUAGGGAAGAACAAAUGUGUAAGUAACUAUGCACGUCUUGACGGUACCUAAUCAGAAAGCCACGGCUAACUACGUG
rnacentral:rRNA from 1 species